GAAAUAAAGGAAUUUUUCAUUUUGGUCACGUUGCCAUCCAAAUUAUAUGCUGCUUUUUUCUUGUUUGUUUCCUUGACAAUGUAGUCCUAAGUGGAAGAGCAGUCAUGAGUACAAUGUACAUGCAGGAAUUGAUGUAUACAUACACACAUGCGUAUAAAAUAUAUGUGAUGUAUCUAUAUAUGUAUAUUGUGUUCACGGACUUGUUUUUUCUCUAGUCUCCCGUGAACGCUUAGUGAAUCCUAUUGUUAGUUAGUUACCAAACCAUAUUAUUUGUCCGGAUAUCGAGAAACGACUUCCAAGAUUCACCCAAUUGGUUCGAACUAGAACUAGUAACAAAUCUAGUCGUGUUUUUCUUUGUAGAUCUGGUCACACUCCGACAAGUUAGAAUUCUCCACCACUCCAUGCUGCCGUAAAAGAAUAAGAAACCGUAGAAGAUCCGCAAUUAGCUGUUUUUGAGAAGCAAGGAUGGCUUUUUUGCUGGGAUCUAUGUCGGUUUCCAUGGACCAGAUCUGCUUGUGUUAGAGCCCCACAAGAGUCUUCUCCUCUGCUGUUUCAGAUGGAAAGAAGUUUUUCUAGAAAAAGACUGGAUAUCUUUGGUUGCAGUUAUCAGAUGCUUGGUUUAGUUUUGUGUGAUCUUGCUUCAGAUGUUUGGUUUUGUUUCCUGUGAUGUGAUGUGCUAAAAUGAUUCUCUUGUCGAUGGGUUUUGGAAUAAUGCUACCUACUUUAAAUUAUUGGAUUAGUGUGGUGUUACUUUACAUAAUUGCUAAAAAACGGAAGAAAAAAUGUUGUUUAGAUAAGUAGGGGUUAGUAUAGUGGCAAUCAUGAUUAAUUCUCAAAUAAAUCACUGUCGGUGGGUUUUAUUGAUGACAUAAUUAUGUUUAUUGAUGAAGUGAACAUGUUGAUCGAUGCAGGAUGAAGCUGAAGCCAAACCCAUCUGAAACCGAACCAGAGCAAGAAACUAAACAAGAACCAAGCCAAACCGAACCAGAGCAAAAAAAAAGAGGAAACCUUUGUACCGAAGGAAGCUUCAAGCCUGGGCCUGAUGUUAGUUAUGACCAGUGUACGAAAAAAAUAUAGUUUUGAAUCAUUUAUAAUGGUCAAAAGUGUAAUGGUCAUCUUAGUUUUGUGGUUAUCAAUUGUAAUGGUCAUGAACUUGAUUUGUAUAUAGUUUAAAUGUAAUGGUGAUACUAUUUUAUACAGAAUGUUUUAUUUUU